UCCCAGCGCAGCCCGUCCCGUCUCAUCCUCUUGGCUCGCCGCCGUCGUCUAAGCUCAAGGGUAGAUCGUUCUGGGGAUGAUGAUGUCGCCGAUGUUGUUGUGCCACGGGUCGGCGAGGUGGGUGGCCAGGUUCUCCAGCGGCCCCGUGCCGGGGUACGCCGACUGCUGCACGCAGAACCCCACGAACGCCAACAUCGCCAGCCGGCCUGCUCAUGCACGACGCCCAGAUAAUUCGCUAGUGUUCGCGGCACAUCAGGUGCUUAUUGGUUUCAGUACAAUGAAGAUCGAGGCCGGGAGGCUCGCUUACCGUUCUUGAUCUCCUUGAGCUUGUACUCCUCGAACUUGACGGGGUCCUUGGAGAAGCCGAGCGGGUCGAAGGCGCCGCCGGGGUACUUCUUCUUCUCGG
rnacentral:lncRNA from 1 species